GACGAACGCUGGCGGCGUGCUUAACACAUGCAAGUCGAACGGAAAGGCCUCUUUCGGGGGGUACUCGAGUGGCGAACGGGUGAGUAACACGUGAGUACCCUGCUCUUGCCUUUGGGAUAACUUCAGGAAACUGGGGCUAAUACCGGCUAGGAGCUCCUGCUGCAUGGUGGGGGCUGGAAAGUUUCGGCGGUUGGGUAUGGACUCUCGGCUUAUCUGCUUGUUGGUGGGGUAGUGGCUUACCAAGGCUUUGACGGGUAGCCGGCCUGAGAGGGUGACCGGCGACACUGGGAAUGCGACUCGGCCCGGACUCCGACGGGAGGCAGCAGUGGGGAAUAUUGCACAAUGGGUGGAAGGCUGAUGCAGCGAUGCCGUGUGCGGGAUGACUGACUUCGGGUUGUAAGCCGCUUUCGCUCAUGACGAGGCUCUGUGUGACGGUACUGGAUAAAGAAGCACCGGCUAACUACGUG
rnacentral:rRNA from 1 species